rnacentral:rRNA from 1 species
AUUGAACGCUGGCGGCAGGCCUAACACAUGCAAGUCGAACGAGUGGCGGACGGGUGAGUAAUGUCUGGGAAACUGCCUGAUGGAGGGGGAUAACUACUGGAAACGGUAGCUAAUACCGCAUACCAUCGGAUGUGCCCAGAUGGGAUUAGCUAGUAGGUGGGGUAACGGCUCACCUAGGCGACGAUCCCUAGCUGGUCUGAGAGGAUGACCAGCGACACUGGACCUGAGACACGGUCCAGAGGCCGACGGGAGGCAGCAGUGGGGAAUAUUGCACAAUGGUGGAAACCCUGAUGCAGCAACGCCGCGUGCGGGAUGACGGCCUUGGGUUUGUAAACCUCUUUCAGCCAUGACGCGUUAGUGGCAGAAGAAGCACCGGCUAACUACGUGCCAGCCGCCGCGGUAAUAC